GACGAACGCUGGCGGCGUGCUUAACACAUGCAAGUCGAGCGGUAAGGCCUCUUCGGGGGUACACGAGCGGCGAACGGGUGAGUAACACGUGAGUAAUCUGCCCUUCACUCUGGGAUAAGCACCGGAAACGGUGUCUAAUACCGGAUACGACCGGCCUCCGCAUGGGGUGUUGGUGGAAACUUUUUGGGUGGGGGAUGUGAUCGCGGCCUAUCAGCUUGAUGGUGGGGUAAUGGCCUACCAUGGCGUCGACGGGUAGCCGGCCUGAGAGGGUGACCGGGCACACUGGGACUGAGACACGGCCCAGACUCCUACGGGAGGCAGCAGUGGGGAAUAUUGGACAAUGGGCGGAAGCCUGAUCCAGCAACGCCGCGUGAGGGAUGACGGCCUUCGGGUUGUAAACCUCUUUCAUCACCGACGAAGCCUUUGGGUGACGGUAGGUGGAGAAGAAGCACCGGCCAACUACGUGCCAGCCGCCGCCGUAAAAC
rnacentral:rRNA from 1 species